rnacentral:rRNA from 1 species
AAUAGAUACCCUGGUAGUCUUGGCCCUAAACGAUGUUCACUAGGUGUCGGGGAUUUUUCUUCGGUGCCGCAGCUAACGCAUUAAGUGAACCGCCUGGGGACUACGACCGCAAGGUUGAAACUCAAAGGAAUUGGCGGGGGCCCGCACAAGCGGUGGAGCAUGUGGCUUAAUUCGAUGCAACGCGAAGAACCUUACCAGGGUUUGACAUGUAACUGCAAGCUCCCGAAAUGGAGUCGCUUUCGAAGGUGUUACACAGGUGGUGCAUGGCUGUCGUCAGCUCGUGUUGUGAAAUGUUGGGUUAAGUCCCGCAACGAGCGCAACCCUCAUGUUCUGUUGCCAGCGAGUAAUGUCGGGAACUCGGAACAAACUGCCUCUGUAAAGAGGAGGAAGGUGGGGAUGACGUCAAGUCUUCAUGCCCCUUACACCCUGGGCUGCACACAUGCUACAAUGGCCGGUACAAAGAGCAGCGAUACCGCGAGGUGGAGCAAAUCUCAAAAAGCCGGUCUCAGUUCGGAUUGGAGUCUGCAACUCG